UUUAAAGUCUAAUCUGCCCCCUGAAAUUAUUUUAAAGGGCUGCGGUAUUUAACCGUACAAAGGUAGCAUAAUAAUUAGGUUUUUGAUUGAAAUCUAGAAUGAAUGAUUGGACGAGAUAUAAGCUGUUUUAAAAUAAUUAAUUAAAAUUUAAUUUUUUAGUCAAAAAGCUAAAAUUAAAUUAAAAGACGAGAAGACCCUAUAAAUCUUUAUAAUAAAUUUAUUUUUAUAGGUUAUUUUAUUUAAAUUAAUUAUUUUUAUAUUAAAUUAUUUUAUUGGGGUGAUAUAAAAAUUUAUUUAACUUUUUAAAAUUUGUCACUUAAAUUAAAGAUUUUUAAAUAAUGAUCUAUUAUUAAUAANNCAAAGAAUAAGAUACUNNNNNNUUAGGGAUAACAGCGUAAUUUUAAUUUUAAGUUCUUAUUAAAAUUAAAGAUUGCGACCUCGAUGUUGGAUUAAAAUUUAAUUUANNUGCAAAGGUUUAAAAAUUAAGUCUGUUCGACUUUU
rnacentral:rRNA from 1 species